rnacentral:lncRNA from 1 species
CACCCGGCGAUCUUCUGAUGUUUUUUUCCCAGAGGAAAACUUCAGCCACUGGAACAGGCAUGGUCAGAAGCAGCUCUUUCUCAGUAAUCAAUCAUCUCAGCAUAAGAUGCUUCUUACCAGCAGGCACAUGCACAGAUCCACAACAUGUGAGUAUUCUCCUCUCAGUGUCAGUCUCAUGUGCAAACAGUGGCUUCCUACAGACACCCGAAUGCCUGCUGCCAUGAGGAUUGUAUGGUGCACGUGAGAAUAGGCACAGGACUCUUAGGAGUACUGCAAAAGGUAGGAGAUCUCACCAUACUCAUGCUUCUGGUUCCUCUCCCUUCCAAAUGAUUUGUCUGUUUUUUAGUAAGAUCUAAACAGAAAAGCGUGGUCUGCAUUAAAGAGAAGGAAAAAACAAC